UACAGAGGGUGCAAGCGUUAAUCGGAAUUACUGGGCGUAAAGCGUGCGUAGACGGUUAUGUAAGUCGGGUGUGAAAGCCCCGGGCUCAACCUGGGAAUUGCAUUCGAGACUGCAUAGCUAGGGUGCGGAAGAGGGAAGCGGAAUUUCCGGUGUAGCGGUGAAAUGCGUAGAGAUCGGGAGGAACACCGGUGGCGAAGGCGGAUCUCUGGGCCAUUACUGACGCUGAGGAGCGAAAGCGUGGGGAGCGAACAGG
rnacentral:rRNA from 1 species